rnacentral:rRNA from 1 species
GUGGGGAAUUUUGGACAAUGGGCGAAAGCCUGAUCCAGCAAUGCCGCGUGCAGGAUGAAGGCCCUCGGGUUGUAAACUGCUUUUGUACGGAACGAAAAGCCUGGGGCUAAUAUCCCCGGGUCAUGACGGUACCGUAAGAAUAAGCACCGGCUAACUACGUGCCAGCAGCCGCGGUAAUACGUAGGGUGCAAGCGUUAAUCGGAAUUACUGGGCGUAAAGCGUGCGCAGGCGGUUUUGUAUGACAGUGGUGAAAUCCCCGGGCUCAACCUGGGAACUGCCAUUGUGACUGCAAGGCUAGAGUGCGGCAGAGGGGGAUGGAAUUCCGCGUGUAGCAGUGAAAUGCGUAGAUAUGCGGAGGAACACCGAUGGCGAAGGCAAUCCCCUGGGCCUGCACUGACGCUCAUGCACGAAAGCGUGGGGAGCAAACAGGAUUAGAUACCCUUGUAGUCC